AGGGCGCUAGCUCUAAUUGGUAGAGCGGCGGAUUCCAAAUCCGUAGGUUCUCGGUUCGAGCCCGAGGCGCCCUG
rnacentral:tRNA from 1 species